rnacentral:rRNA from 1 species
UCUACGGGUGGCAGCAGUGGGGAAUAUUGGACAAUGGGCGAAAGCCUGAUCCAGCCAUGCCGCGUGUGUGAAGAAGGCCUUCGGGUUGUAAAGCACUUUCAGUGGGGAAGAAAGCCUUGGGGCUAAUACCCUCGAGGAAGGACAUCACCCACAGAAGAAGCACCGGCUAACUCCGUGCCAGCAGCCGCGGUAAUACGGAGGGUGCGAGCGUUAAUCGGAAUUACUGGGCGUAAAGCGCGCGUAGGCGGUCUGAUAAGCCGGUUGUGAAAGCCCCGGGCUCAACCUGGGAACGGCAUCCGGAACUGUCAGGCUAGAGUGCAGGAGAGGAAGGUAGAAUUCCCGGUGUAGCGGUGAAAUGCGUAGAGAUCGGGAGGAAUACCAGUGGCGAAGGCGGCCUUCUGGACUGACACUGACGCUGAGGUGCGAAAGCGUGGGUAGCAAACAGGAUUAGAUACCCCGGUAGUC